CGCUAUCACUCCUACGGGAGGCAGCAGUGGGGAAUAUUGCACAAUGGGCGCAAGCCUGAUGCAGCCAUGCCGCGUGUAUGAAGAAGGCCUUCGGGUUGUAAAGUACUUUCAGCAGUGAGGAAGGCAGGUACGUUAAUAGCGUGCUUGUUUGACGUUAGCUGCAGAAGAAGCACCGGCUAACUCCGUGCCAGCAGCCGCGGUAAUACGGAGGGUGCGAGCGUUAAUCGGAAUUACUGGGCGUAAAGCGCAUGCAGGUGGUUUGUUAAGUCAGAUGUGAAAGCCCGGGGCUCAACCUCGGAAUUGCAUUUGAAACUGGCAGACUAGAGUACUGUAGAGGGGGUAGAAUUUCAGGUGUAGCGGUGAAAUGCGUAGAGAUCUGAAGGAAUACCAGUGGCGAAGGCGGCCCCCUGGACAAAGACUGACGCUCAGAUGCGAAAGCGUGGGGAGCAAACAGGAUUAGAUACCCUGGUAG
rnacentral:rRNA from 1 species